GACCUUGAUGCCAGGUGGAAUCUAAAGAACUUCAGUAUAUCAGACUGGGCCAAGGCCAGGGGACAGGACUUGACCAAAGGUCUGGCACGGACAGCUGUGAACCUUCUGUUGGAACAGCUGGGUAUCAAGGACAAGAUGCUGGAUCCACCCUGUAACCGCAGUAGUCUCAAGUACCAGCCAGCUGAUGCGGGCAACUGGAAGAAUGAUUGUGACUUGGGCGG